AACGAACGCUGGCGGCAGGCUUAACACAUGCAAGUCGAACGCCCCGCCAGGGGAGUGGCCGACGGGUGAGUAACGCGUGGGAACAUACCCUUUCCUGCGGAAUAGCUCCGGGAAACUGGAAUUAAUACCGCAUACGCCCUACGGGGGAAAGAUUUAUCGGGGAAGGAUUGGCCCGCGUUGGAUUAGCUAGUUGGUGGGGUAAAGGCCUACCAAGGCGACGAUCCAUAGCUGGUCUGAGAGGAUGAUCAGCCACAUUGGGACUGAGACACGGCCCAAACUCCUACGGGAGGCAGCAGUGGGGAAUAUUGGACAAUGGGCGCAAGCCUGAUCCAGCCAUGCCGCGUGAGUGAUGAAGGCCUUAGGGUCGUAAAGCUCUUUCACCGAUGAAGAUAAUGACGGUAGUCGGAGAAGAAGCCCCGGCUAACUUCGUG
rnacentral:rRNA from 1 species